UUUUUAUUUUUGCAAACUUUUUCCUCAGCCCCUAUAUUUUCUCUUUCCUCACGUUACCUGUCUCCUCCGUAUUUUACCUCAGUAUGCGAUGGAAUGGGCAUUGGCUUCUUCUGUUCUGGGAGGCGAUUUAAGACGACAUGGGUGGUGGGUUAUUAUGCUAUGUUCUGGAAAAAAAAGCAUUGGCCAAGAAUGUUUACUUAAUAAAAACCUCAUUUUUAGGUUUUAUCUGUCUGGAAAAUUCAAACGUCGGGAAGGGCAGGAAGAGUAAAGAAGGGAUCAAGUGUGAAUUAUCCUAUUGCUAUUGUUACAAGUAUCUUGGCUUUUAUUAGAUACUUGUCUGCAUAUGUGAUGGUUAGUACUGGGUGUGGGGUUUUGUUCUUGCUGGUGGUAGCAAAACUUCAUGCAAUAUUGCGUCCUUUUAUACUUCAAAGAAUGAAGAUUGAUGUUGAGUUAAUGCUUCCUCGAAAUAAAGAAAUCAUAUCAUAUGUGGCAAUGACAGAGUUUCACCAGAAUUUUCAGGAUCAUCUGUUCAAUAAGACAUAAGAAAUUUAUUUAUCUGAAGAGAGGAAAAUUGGUCGUAGUAAACAUGGAAAACUUAACAAUUUGGUUAUUCAACCUUGGAAGAACUGCAACUAUCUUGACCUUAUACAGGCAAUUUCGAUGGCUCAUGUAACUCCAAUAUUUUAUUGUAUGCUAUUUUCUUUUUGAUCCUCUUCAAUUCCACGCAUAUUUUUUUUUUGGAGUACUCUUGGCAGACUUGUACCCACCCAUUGAGCAGACAGUUGAGCAGUGUGUCAAAUUUCAGUUUUUGGAUUGACUGUUGGUCAAAUUAUUUGCUCGGAAACACAAGGUGCGUUGCAGUUUAUCUAUUUGUAUUAUUUAUUAGCUAAUGAACUAGCAUAAUCUCUUCUUCAUCUUCUUCCUUUUUUUAGGAGUUGAUCUUCUCUCAGUGGACUAAGAUUUUGGAUAUAAUGAAUUAUUAUUUUAGUGAAAAAAGGUUUGAUGUUUGUCAAAUUGAUGGCAGUGUGAACCUUGUUGAAAGGAGAGGAAAGGUUUGUUCCAGCUCACUCAAUUUAUGGAGAACAUGAAGCUGUUUUUAUCAAUGAUGUUUUCUUUUUAUUGUUUGAUUUUGAUGUUGGAAUGUUCCAAUUUUCUGCUCCAAUAUUCAAUAGAUUGUUUCUUCUAACCAACUGGGAUGCAUAUAAGUUCCCUGUGUUGGAUUUUUAAAACUUAAGCUUUCCACUGAUGAUCUACCCUUGACCACUCUUUGGCAAGUUGUCUUGAGUGUCCUUUAAUUAAUUAUGAAAUCUCAAAGAAAUGAUAAGUACCUGAAAAGAUGCCUAACUAAUUUUGAAGUGAUGUGAAUAAUUACUACUCUUGGUGUUGUAAAUUUAUGGGAAGCAUUUGUCUUCUUUGUUCAAUGCAACUGUUUUUGUGCUUUUACUUUCAAGAUCUACUGCAUUUUUAUUAACAAUUACCAAUAUUAUGUUCUCUAUGAGUAAACAGAUGCGAGAGUUCAGUUAUCUGACUAGAGAUUUCAGAAUUUUCCUUCAAAGCACCAGAGCUACAGCUGUUGAUACCUGUUUUAUGUAUUCUGGGUCACACGUUCAUAAGAGCUUAUAGCAAGUUGAAGCUUCAGCAUUUGGUGAUUGGGGAAGGGCAUUUUAAACUAGAAAAAUUGGCACCGAAUACUUCCGAUGUUGGAGAGGUUUGCUUUAUUGGUUUUCAUUUUCAUACAUAUAUUUAAAUUGGCUUGCCAGUUAUCUGCUUGGUGUCAUCAACAUAAUUAGGAGAUUUGGAUGUACUUUUCCUUAAAUCUGUUCAGAUUUCAUUCAUGCCAUUGAUUGACUAUCUUAAUUUGAUCUCUUCUUUUUUUUUG